AUUGAACGCUGGCGGCAGGCCUAACACAUGCAAGUCGAACGAGUGGCGGACGGGUGAGUAAUGUCUGGGAAACUGCCUGAUGGAGGGAGAUAACUACUGGAAACGGUAGCUAAUACCGCAUACCAUCAGCUAUGCCCCGAUGGGAUUAGCUAGUUGGUGGGGUAACGGCUAACCAAGGCGACGAUCCAUAGCUGGUCUACGAGGAUGACCAGCCAAACGGGAACUGAGACACGGUCACGACGCCUACGGGAGGCAGCAGUGUGGAAGAUUGCACAAUGGGCGCAAGCCUGAGGCAGCCAUGCCGCGUGUAUGAAGAAGGCCUUCGGGUUGUAAAGUACUUUCAGCGGGGAGGCGUUAUCCGCAGAAGAAGCACCGGCUAACUCCGUGCCAGCAGCCGCGGUAAUAC
rnacentral:rRNA from 1 species